rnacentral:rRNA from 1 species
GUCAAAUCAUCAUGCCCCUUAUGACCUGGGCUACACACGUGCUACAAUGGAUGGUACAAAGGGCUGCGAGACCGCGAGGUUAAGCCAAUCCCAGAAAACCAUUCCCAGUUCGGAUUGCAGGCUGCAACCCGCCUGCAUGAAGCCGGAAUCGCUAGUAAUCGCGGAUCAGCAUGCCGCGGUCGAAUACGUUCCCGGGCCUU